GUUUGUUACAAAAGUAAUCAAUUUGAGAUCCUUUGAGAUAUUUAAUAGGGAUGUUUGCUAAUUGGUUAUUUUUAUUGAUAAAACUAGUAGCAACACAUUCUAACUUAAUCUUUUGCCCUGUAAAGUGACGAUCCACCUUUAUAUGUUUUGUUCUCGUGAAAACUGGAUUUGAGGUAAUAUGUAGUGUUACUUGAUUAUCAUAAAUCAAUUUCAUUUGUUUGACAUCUCCACAUUUUAACUCUUGAAGAAGAUGUUUUAAUUAGAUAAGAUCAUAACUUGGUAA
rnacentral:misc_RNA from 1 species